rnacentral:rRNA from 1 species
GGUGAACGCUGGCGGCGUGCCUAAGACAUGCAAGUCGAGCGGGGCAGGUUUAUACCUGUUCAGCGGCGGACGGGUGAGUAACGCGUGGGUGACCUACCCGGAAGAGGCGGACAACCUGGGGAAACCCAGGCUAAUCCGCUAUGGGGUCCGGCCUGGGGGGGAAGGACUAAGGGGUGGAGAGCCCGCUUCCGGAGGGGCCCGCGUCCCGUCAGCUAGUUGGGGGGGUAAAGGCCCACAAAGGCGACGACUGGUAGCCGGUCUGAGAGGAUGGCCGGCCACAGGGGCACUGAGCCCCGGGCCCCACUCCUACUGGAGGCAGCUGGUCGGAAUCUUCCGCAAUGGACGGAAGUCUGACGGAGCGACGCCGCUUGGAGGGGGUAGCCCUUCGGGGUGUAAACUCCUGAACUGGGGACGAAAGCCCUGUGUAGGGGGAUGACGGUACCCAGGUAAUAGCGCCGGCCAACUCCGUG